UCUCAGUGGUAAAGAAUCUGCCUACAAUGCAGGAGACCCAGGUUUGAUCCCUGG
rnacentral:tRNA from 1 species